rnacentral:rRNA from 1 species
GACGAACGCUGGCGGCGUGCUUAACACAUGCAAGUCGAACGGGCCUUGUCCCCUUUUUUUUGGGGGUGGGGUUAGUGGCGAACGGGUGAGUAACACGUGAGUAACCUGCCCCUCACUUCUGGAUAACCGCUUGAAAGGGUGGCUAAUACGGGGUGUUCUGGCCUGCUCGCAUGGGUGGGUUUGGAAAGAUUCGACCGGUUUUGGUUGUUUUGGUGGGGGAUGGGCUCGCGGCCUAUCAGCUGGUUGGUGGGGUGAUGGCCUGCCAAGGCUUUGACGGGUAGCCGGCCUGAGAGGGUGGGCGGUCACACUGGGACUGAGACACGGCCCAGACUCCUACGGGAGGCAGCAGUGGGGAAUAUUGCACGAUGGGCGCAAGCCUGAUGCAGCGACGCCGCGUGAGGGAUGGAGGCCUUCGGGUUGUGAACCUCUUUCGCCAGUGAAGAAGGUCCUGCUCUUUGUGGUGGGGUUGACGGUAGCUGGGUUAAUGAAGCGCCGGCUAACUACGUG